ensembl:lncRNA
GUGCUGGGUAAUUUUUAAUGCUGGGUUAUUUGUUUCUACCUAACCACUGGGUUGAACUUGUCCCUGAUGAAACUUCUCAACAACGCAGCCGCUGAGUUACAGUCAGAGCCGGCUUAUUGCAUUCUACAGGAGAGAGCGGUUCUCAGCGCCGCUGCCGAUUUGGUGCACUAUUUCCAGGAAAUAAAGAUUUUGGAGUCAGUCAUGCCAUCUCUCAGCUAAAGAGAGUGCAAACUAAAGUUUGUAGUUCCCCCACGAAUAGCAACCCUUCACCGGCUCAGAUUUUGGCAACACAGGCACGAGAAUUAGCACUGUUUCGGUAAAAUGCGAUUACAGAGAAUGGUUGAAUACAUGUCUAUUAAAAUGCUAUUUCUAAAUAUGACUUUUUUUAUUUCUAAAAUUAUUGUUAAAUGUGUUUAAAUGUAUGUAAUUUUGUAAACUAUGCUCUGUCCACCCAGAAAAAAAAAUACAGUUUGUCUUGUAUUUUGUCCGUGGGUGUUCUUGCUUUAUAAUAAAUGUUCAUCUUUUGAUUAUUGCUGUUGCCUAUAGUAAUUCAAUGUGUGAUUUUUAAUUUCCAGACAAUUUUAAGCCAGCAAUAUAAUAUAUAUAUUUUUUUAAAACAAUAGAUGUCUUAAAUUAAACAACCCAGCAUGGUGGGUAAAAACAUUUAACCCAACCAGCUGGGUCAAAAUAACCCAGCAUGUGUUCUGUCCAAUAUUUAUCUAGUGCUGGGUUGCCAGAUAACCCAAGUUGGGUUGUUUUUAACCCAGCAUUUUUUUUUAAUGGACAGCAUGAAGUUUUCUGACAACCUCAUAAAUGUGGGAAAAGGUCCAUUUAAUUUGAAUACCAGGUGGAAUUGUGAGAAAUGAGGUAAUCUGUGCACAUCCCAUGCCAACAAAUGCAUUCAAGCAAUGUUCACAAACACUUAGGAAUGAUCUGGCUCAUCUGAGACACUCUAACAUGAGGUAAAAACUACCCCCCCACCCCCCGUCCUUGGAGCCAGUCUCCGACACUCACAGGACCCCUGCAUCCUCCAAUAACAUUGUCUGAAUCCAUAAAACUUAUGCUGAGGGAUGCAAUAAACUCUCUCAUCAAUAAUGUAUGACUCUCUUUCUCCACACAUAUCAAUCAUUAUCCAGUCUACUUCCCCUCACUCUUACAAACACCGGACUGCACACACUCAACAAAUAUGCAUUGCAGCAGAACAAGGAGAAAUGAAAUGUGAGAGCGUAUUUGUGUUUCAAUAAGGUAAGGCUCUUU